AGACCCGAAACCCGGUGAUCUAGCCAUGGGCAGGUUGAAGGUUGGGUAACACUAACUGGAGGACCGAACCGACUAAUGUUGAAAAAUUAGCGGAUGACCUGUGGCUGGGGGUGAAAGGCCAAUCAAACCGGGAGAUAGCUGGUUCUCCCCGAAAGCUAUUUAGGUAGCGCCUCGUGAAUUCAUCUCCGGGGGUAGAGCACUGUUUCGGCUAGGGGGCCAUCCCGGCUUACCAACCCGAUGCAAACUGCGAAUACCGGAGAAUGUUAUCACGGGAGACACACGGCGGGUGCUAACGUCCGUCGUGAAGAGGGAAACAACCCAGACCGCCAGCUAAGGUCCCAAAGUCAUGGUUAAGUGGGAAACGAUGUGGGAAGGCCCAGACAGCCAGGAUGUUGGCUUAGAAGCAGCCAUCAUUUAAAGAAAGCGUAAUAGCUCACUGGUCGAGUCGGCCUGCGCGGAAGAUGUAACGGGGCUAAACCAUGCACCGAAGCUGCGGCAGCGACGCUUAUGCGUUGUUGGGUAGGGGAGCGUUCUGUAAGCCUGUGAAGGUGGCCUGUGAGGGUUGCUGGAGGUAUCAGAAGUGCGAAUGCUGACAUAAGUAACGAUAAAGCGGGUGAAAAGCCCGCUCGCCGGAAGACCAAGGGUUCCUGUCCAACGUUAAUCGGGGCAGGGUGAGUCGACCCCUAAGGCGAGGCCGAAAGGCGUAGUCGAUGGGAAACAGGUUAAUAUUCCUGUACUUGGUGUUAC
rnacentral:rRNA from 1 species